rnacentral:lncRNA from 1 species
AUUCAUUAAAGUAGUCCUGGCAGGAUCACCUCCCACUGGUUAGAUGACUGUCACGUCCGGUGUCUGAUAAGUCAGCGGUUCAGAAUGACAUUCUUUAACAGUUGUCAUUCAAAUCCAUGUCUGUGCUGUGCUUCAUAGACUUAUAGAAUUUCCGAAUAUCAUGACCUUUUUAAAGAAAGCAUGUUUUACUUUCUUUUUCUCUUUCCCAUUUCUGAUUUCCCCCCAAAACUAUUCAUUGUAUUCUUUUAUCUUUUAAUACCAGCUAGUUGUACUUUAUUCCAUUUAGUCAUCAUCAUUUCUUUUGGCAUCUAAUAACUAAUGGAAAUGGACUUGUGUGUGUGUUUUUACAAAGCUAUGUCUUGUUGGAUGUCCCCCUAAAUGCCAGAACAGUCGUACGUUUUUAGAUGGAAUAAUGCAUAAUGACAUGUGAUUUGUCUUAGGAAAUUUCACUUUGCCAAUUUCACUUUUGAAUCUUGCUGGGAUUUCUUCUUCAGAAAUUACAGCUUUUUUCAUAUUUCUGGUUUCAAGAUCUUAGGGUAGUUUGCUCUCCACUCCCGAACAUAGUAUUCUGGGUUGGGUCCUUGGAUGUGGCUGUGUGGCCCUCCAGUGCUGAGUUGAUUUCUGGCCAUGUAGCCCACCUCUGCUAUGGAAAUCGGUGCUGUGACAUCAUAAUACUUAGGGAAAGAGACCCUAGGUGCUGUCCAAGACUGUGGACAGUGUCAUACUGAGCAUAUUUUCGUGCAAAGCUGCCUCAUCAUCUUACAGAGCAUCGUUUUACAGGGAGUUUGAGAAAGUAGAGAAAACAGUUAUUGAUGUUCUCAUAUAAAUUAUCAGCAGGGAUGACCUUACUGGGGAAAAGAAGCGCUUGCCAAGCCGAGGAUUUCUCUACCCUUCAGUGCCCUCGGACAGCCUGGCCAACUGUGUCCUUGCUUUACCUCCACGCCAACCACCCGUUUCACACCAUGUUCCCUAACUGAAU